rnacentral:lncRNA from 1 species
ACCCAGUUCCUGCAGUGCUCAGUUCAUCAGACCAUUAAGGACCAUUUCAGACCUGGCUGUAUAGAGCCAUCCAGGAAUCCUCAAAGAAGACUGCCUCUGUGUUCCACUCCAGACUCCAGGAAGAAGGAAGCUGAGUGCCUUACCUGGAUGCAAAUGGGCUGAAGACAGGGGCCACCAUUAAUGGAACCUGAACAGUGCCUAACCUAACCCCUGUGGAUAUCUGUUGAAUGUUAAAUAAUAGCAGAGAUCAUGUAAUAAGGACACUCAGCUCACUCAGGAGAGAAUAUCAAACAGUCUGGAAUUUUCCUGUUGCUGGCAGCACAGCCCAGGAGCAUCCUGAGGGAACCAGAGUCUUUAUAGCAUCAGUGAAAAGGAACUCUGUCCUCCUUAUCUUCCUGCUUUUCUCAGUUCAGCCCCCAUUCUUAUUCCAUUGGUGCCUGGAGGAAGUCUUGGUUAAAAGCUUUCUGAUGGAGACAUUGAUGAUUAGUUUGGAAAGAGCCAGAGUGAGUGGUCCCGACUCCUCCCCCGCUUCCCCCGCUUCCAGGAUGUGCGGGGCUGCACCCAGAACAGAUGCCUUCCUUUGGACAAGGGUCUCAACACCUCUGGGGGCACUGCUGGUCUUGAGAUUCACUCCUUUUCUCAUGUUUGGUCCACUCAGUGUCAGAUGUUUUGCUAGGUGACAGGGAUAUAAUAAGUAAGACACAGUCCUGCCCUAAGAUGACCUCACUGUAAGUUAAAAAAUUAGGCUGUCCCUCUGGAUAAGUAUAAUGGCAGUGACAGGCAUGGCUUGGGGGUGGGCUCUGAGACCAAGGCUCAGAGCACCUGCCUUGUCUUAAUGGGCUAAUAGAAGCUUUCUGGAGGAGGUGACACCUGAGUUGCUUUCAAAGACAUUUUCCAAAUGUAGGAGGGGCCAGAAAAGAGCCUUUCAUUGUCACACCUUAUUUGCUAUUUGCCCCUUGAAAUCUAGGUAGAAUUAUUUUACCCCACAUUUCCAAAGCUUAUCAAAGUCCAAAGAGGGGGGGGUCUCUUCUCAUGGCCAUUUCUGCUUCCCUGUGUCCACCACUGAUUCUCUUGGCUAUGAUGGAGCUAAUGCUGGUUUUCGUGCUUUGUAACAUCUUGUUUGUCUUGAUUUUAGUCCCAUAUUUACUGACAAGGAGGCUGAAGGUACUUAUGAUAAUUCAGGUAGCCUAGUCUGUUUUCUAAAAUCUAAAACUACUAUCCCUUAUAUGUGAAAUCUAAAAAAAGCAUACAAUGAACUUCUUUGCAGAACAGAUACUGACAGACUUUGAAAAACUUACAGUUGCCAAAGGAGACAGGUUGGGGGGUGGGGGGAAUGGGCUGGGGUUUGGAAUGGAAGUGCUAUAAAAUUCAGUUGUGAUGAUUGUUGUACAACUAUAAAUGUAAUAAAACUCAUUGAGUUAAAAAAAAAUAAAAGCUA